rnacentral:lncRNA from 1 species
GUCUGUUUUGUAAAUUACAUGUCUACUCUUUUAGUUGUGAAUUUUUUGUAAAAUCAGUAAUAAUGUUUCCCAAGAUGUAAUACAUGUGCUAACAAUGUGUUUACACAUUUAAAAAUCAAUGAAAUAAUAGACUUCAAUAGCCUUUUUCUUAUCUUUGGAUCUCUCAUAUACAAUAAUAAACUCCAAUGGCCUUUUUCUCAUCUUAAUUAACAAGAAUGUUGGUAGCUUCAUAUUGAUACAACAUUUUAGAAAGCAUUUUAACCCUUCUUCCAACUCAUAACAAUAAUCAUCAUUAGUGUCUAUAACAAUAAUACUUAAGGGAUGGAAACAAACAAUAGUAACUAGUCAAAGCAUAUCAUAUUUAUUAUAAGUUUGUGUUGAAAAACUUAGUCAAAUUUAGUAAAACUAAGGGAGAAAACAUAUUUUGAAAAUAUGAGUUUUACAUAUCUUGAAGUUACUUAUCACUCUUAAAAAUACAAGUUAUUCAAAAACUAGCGUAGAAGACUUAAAAACUAGCGGAGAAGACUUCCACGGAAGUCUUCUCGGAUCAGUUAGAAACUUUAAUUAACGUGAAUGUUGGUAACCUAUGUAGUCUUUUGAAUCCUAAGUUUGGAAAAUCUGUUAUUUUUUAUCCUCAAUAACUCACCUUUCAAAUCAUUAGAAGACAAAGCGGUCAGAGCAUGCUAAAUGAAACAUUUUCCACAUACCCCUAAAUUUUUUGAAAAAAAUUAUAUACAAAUAGAUUUC